rnacentral:rRNA from 1 species
GAGCGAUCCAUCUUCGGAUGGGGAGCGGCAAACGGGGUAGUAACAUGUGGGAACGUACCUUCUAGUCAGGAAUAACUGCGAGAAAUCGUAGCUAAUACUUGAUAGUCCCUCAGGGGUAAAGAUUUAUCGCUAGAAGAGCGGCCCGCACAGUAUCAGCUAGUUGGUAAGGUAAAAGCUUACCAAGGCUUCGACGCUUAGGGGAGGUGAGAGCCUGACCCCCACCAUUGGCACUGAGACACUGGCCAAACUCC